rnacentral:rRNA from 1 species
GACGAACGCUGGCGGCGUGCUUAACACAUGCAAGUCGAGCGGAAAGGCCCUUUCGGGGGUACUCGAGCGGCGAACGGGUGAGUAACACGUGGGUAAUCUGCCCCUGGCUUUGGGAUAGCCACCGGAAACGGUGAUUAAUACCGGAUACGACCACUUCUCGCAUGGGAUGGUGGUGGAAAGUUUUUCGGCCAGGGAUGUGCUCGCGGCCUAUCAGCUUGAUGGUGAGGUAAUAGCUCACCAUGGCUUCGACGGGUAGCCGGCCUGAGAGGGUGACCGGUCACACUGGGACUGAGACACGGCCCAGACUCCUACGGGAGGCAGCAGUGGGGAAUAUUGGACAAUGGGCGGAAGCCUGAUUCAGCAACGCCGCGUGAGGGAUGACGGCCUUCGGGUUGUAAACCUCUUUCAGCAGGGACGAAGCGCAAGUGACGGUACCUGCAGAAGAAGCACCGGCCAACUACGUGCCAGCCGCCGCGGUAA